ACCAACAACAACAGAACAACGUAAAACAGAAAAAAAAGGUUGUCUCGAGAGCAAAAGUCGAUUCGACAACAUAGAUCAGAUUCAGUCGACGAUGGAUAAGACAACCUCUAUUUUCGAAUUGGAAAACCCAGAGUAAGAUCCAUCAUCAAUCUGUCUUAAUGGAGUUCCCGAUGUCGUCUUCAAUUGAUAAUUGAGCGUUUUAGUAGAGCUUGAAAAUCUAUAAACGAAUAUGGGUAUUCUUUAAAAGGAACUCGAAUGACGAACACUUAACCAAAGAUAAGUAACGAUACCUAUUUCUUUAUUUGUAAAUACCUAUGACUUAUCUAUCUAAAAAUUCUAAUCUUUUAUUUUACCUGGUCAGGGUUAAAUUACUUUCAGUAAGAGGAAGUCUAGAGACAACAAUUGGAUUGAAGUUUCGCCUAAAACUUACCAUAUAAUUUUGGAUUUCUUUUUCCUUGCAAGUAGGGAAAAAUCUCUUCUACAAUGGAUCACUAAGCUUUUGAGUGGAGCUUCGAGAUAUAUAAUCGAAUUGAGUCUUCUUUCAAAGGUUGAUUGAUUUAGGAGAUCCGUAAUUGUUGAUAACAAAUUUUGGAAAUCAAGCAGUUUAAACAGAAAUCUCGGAGAAGAUCAUAGUAGAAAGGAAGAAAAAUCUGUGUAUUAAAUUGUUGAAGAUAAACGAUUGUCAACUUUAUAUUUUUGGGUUAUGUAAUUUUAUAAAAGGAUGGGCUUGGGCUAGUCCAAACGAUUGUUUUGAAUAUAUUUUCGGAUUGUAAUCGUGGAGCCCAAAUUUCUACUUAUAUUUGGGGGUCGAAAUAAUCUAUUGUAUUUUAAAAUUGCUUAUAUUUGGAGGUCGAAAUCUCUUACACAUGCA